rnacentral:rRNA from 1 species
GACGAACGCUGGCGGCGUGCUUAACACAUGCAAGUCGAACGGAGUGGCGAACGGGUGAGUAACACGUGGGUGACCUGCCCUGCACUUCGGGAUAAGCCUGGGAAACUGGGUCUAAUACCGGAUAGUGUGGGAUGGGCCCGCGGCCUAUCAGUUUGUUGGUGGGGUAAUGGCCUACCAAGGCGGCGACGGGUAGCCGGCCUGAGAGGGGGGACGGCCACAGGUGGACUGAGGUACGGCCCAGACUCGUACGGGAGGCAGGAGUGGGGAAUAUUGCACAAUGGGCGGAAGGCUGAUGCAGCGACGCCGCGUGGGGGAUGACGGCCUUCGGGUUGUAAACUCCUUUCACCAUCGAGGCGGUAGUUGGAGAAGAAGCACCGGCUAACUACGUGCCAGCAGCCGCGGUAAUUC